rnacentral:lncRNA from 1 species
CUGGCAACAGAGAGAAGCCAAGAGCCCUGCAGAAAGGGAAGCAAAAGAUCCCAAAGGACUUGCGGUGUGUUGGGAGACAAGCAGAAUUUGCACAGACUUGUCAGGAAAUCAUGGUGGCUAAUUGUGAUGUACAUAAAAAGAAGAGGAUGGAUGGGAGAGAUAUUGAGGAGGAAACAGAUUUAAUUCAAGUUUCCCCCAUGGUCUAGCUACUCUGUCACAGAUGGUGAGACUCCUUGGCCUUGAAAUCACCUGGUGGCAGCCUGAUGAAAUAAUUAUCACAAGUGGGGAAUGAACUGAGAUUUCAAAUCAGUGAUUUCAGAGGAGACUCAUGCUUUCUUGAUAUUAAAAUCCUACUGCAAAAUCCAGCUCAGCCACACCGAGAGUACUGAAAAUGUAGUUUCUUUUGUCAUGUAAUAUAAUGCACAUGUGGACAAAGAAUGGUUUAAAGACCUGGGGAAAUCUAACCUGAACCCAAGAAGAUUUGUUUGAGGUAGGAGUUUCUAAAGGAAUUCAAAUAUUUGAAAGGCACUCACAUGGAAGAGGAAGGAAAUGUU